rfam:Chlorocebus sabaeus isolate 1994-021 chromosome 5, whole genome shotgun sequence.
AUCACAUGGGGGCCUUGUUAAAAUGCAUAUUCUGCUUCAGCAGGCCUGGGAUUCUGCAUUUCUAUUAAGUUCUCAGGUGAUGCUGA